GCCUACGGGAGGCAGCAGUGGGGGAUAUUGCACAAUGGGGGAAACCCUGAUGCAGCGACGCCGCGUGGGUGAAGAAGCGCCUCGGCGCGUAAAGCCCUGUCAGCAGGGAAGAAAAUGACGGUACCUGAAGAAGAAGCCCCGGCUAACUACGUGCCAGCAGCCGCGGUAAUACGUAGGGGGCAAGCGUUAUCCGGAUUUACUGGGUGUAAAGGGGGCGCAGACGGCGAUGCAAGCCAGGAGUGAAAGCCCGGGGCUCAACCCCGUCCGGCCGUUGAAACUGGGAGCCUUGAG
rnacentral:rRNA from 1 species